UCUCCGUUGGUGAACCAGCGGAGGGAUCAUUACAGGACUCGCAAGACUCCUACAACCCUGUGAACUUAACUAUAAGCACGUUGCUUCGGCGGGUGUCUUGGAGGGGGUUCUCCCUCCCCGAGACGCUAAACCCGCCGGCAGCCUACUAUACUCUGUCUCUUUGCGUUGGCAUCUCGAGUACAAUCAAACAAGUUAAAACUUUCAACAACGGAUCUCUUGGUUCUG
rnacentral:misc_RNA from 1 species